rnacentral:lncRNA from 1 species
UUCCGCAUGAGUUCAGGAGGGGACAGCGGACACAAAGGUCCUGCAGUUUCUGCCCAAGAGGCUCAGAUGCAAGCCAUCAUGCAGCAGGCCAGGGUAAAAACACACACUUACACUAAUACACACUGUCUCACACACAUGCAUCUCUAUGCAAACUAAUCGCUCUGUGUCAUUAAUAUAUAGCUGGCGAUGAGGGGUCCUACCGGACCGAUGGGUUUGACAGGCCGUCCUGGUCCUCUGGUAUGUCUGUAAAUCUGUUUUCAGUCUGUCGAAAUGAUGAUAUCUGUAAUAUUAUGAUGAGUCUUAUAAUGAUUCAUGCUUGAUUUGAUUUUCCCAGGGGCCUCCUGGUGUGCCUGGACUGAAAGGAGAGUCUGGAGAAUCAGGACCUCAGGUAGGCAUCACAGAUUACCCACAAUCCUCAGCUUUUUGACAGUAUUUGAAGACAGUUCGAUGCAGGAUAGAGCUGUUCUGAGACCUGUGUGUGUGUUGUUAGGGUCCUCGUGGUCCACUGGGAUCCCAUGGCCCUCCUGGAAAGCCUGGUAGAAGGGGUCGACCCGGCUCAGAUGGAGCCAGAGGGAUGCCCGGACAGACGGGAACAAAGGUAAAACUAAUGAGAUUAACGUUACACAAAUAUCUUUUAGCAUUACACACAAUAAUGAAUUGUGCACGAUAAGAUGACAGAAAGUAAAAAGUGUCAACUUUGAUUUCAUGUAGACAAAUAGUAGUAAGUAAUUGUUUCUUGUUUAUACAAUGUUAAUGUCAUGCCAUUCUGAACUGUUUGCUGUCUGUGUGCUUCACAGGGUGACCGAGGAUUCGAUGGGCUCGCUGGUUUGCCUGGAGAAAAGGGUCACAGGGGUGAGACGGGUCCUCAGGGGCCUCCUGGGCCUCCAGGAGAGGAUGGAGAAAGAGUAAGAGCUUGUUCUUUUAAUCCCUUCCUGUUUCCCAUCUGUGUUAUUGUUCUAAAUGGAUCACAAUGAUGACAUCAUUUCCUGUAUGUCAGGGUGAUGAUGGUGAGGUCGGACCCAGAGGUCUGCCCGGAGAAUCGGGUCCUCGUGGUUUGUUGGGCCCCAAAGGUCCCCAAGGGCCUCCAGGACCUCCCGUAAGUACAAACUUUAUCUUUUUUUUUAUGAUUUAUAUUUUAGACACUUUACACGCAUACAUUUUUUUUUAUCUUUAUCUGAAUCAAUUUGUUGGUUUUCAUCAGUCAAGUCCCCAACCUUCAUGAUAUUGUUCCACUUAUUUAAGAAAGAAACAGCUUAAUUAUUAAUGUCCUAAUUUUUUUUUUUAAUGUGAGAAUAUAAAAAUGUGUGAAUAUUUUUUAAACGUGUUAAACUAUCAUUUUAGGGUGUGACUGGUAUGGACGGACAUCCUGGACCUAAAGGAAACAUUGUAAGUCUGAAACACACACACACACACACACACACACACACACACACACACACUCUUGUGCAUAUUCAAACAUGCUUAUACACACACAUAUUCACUUUAUUAUGCUUCUUUUUUCACUCAUCAGGGUCCUCAGGGUGAGCCAGGACCUCCAGGUCAACAAGGCAACCCCGGAGCUCAGGUAUUCGUCAAGCCACGCCCACUUAGACAUGUUCUAACCCACCUGUCACUGACCUAUUAACCAGUUCAUGUCCUCUAAUUCUGUCCUCUUCCACAGGGACUUCCAGGUCCUCAGGGAGCGAUCGGACCUCCAGGAGAGAAGGUGAGACCACAUGAGUGGAUGAUCAAUGGAUGCUUCUCUGGUUAAUUCAUUAAAAGCC